rnacentral:RNase_P_RNA from 1 species
UGAGCAGCACAAGUGACCGCGCCCAUUCAGACGAAAGGGAAUGGGUGAGGAAAGUCCGAGCUUCGCAGGGCAGGAUGCCGGAUAACGUCCGGUGGAGGCGACUCCCAGGCUAGUGCAACAGAAAUAUACCGCCACGGCUUUGCCCGUGGUAAGGUUGGAAUGGCGAGGUAAGAGCUCACCGCCUCUCUGGUAACAGGGAGGGCAUAUGUAAACCCCAUCCGAAGCAAGACCGAACAGGAAGCAAUACGGCGGCCCGUCGUGUUUCCGGGUAGGUCGCUAGAGCCUGUUGGCAACAGCAGGUCCAGAUAGAUGGUCACUCAACGACAGAACUCGGCUUAUCGUGCUGCUCAUAUG